AUGAGCACCUGGUUUGAAGCUCAUCCUGGUCCCACGCUACCCUCAACUGCCACCACGGCAACAGUUACCAUGCCGACACUCGCAUCCAGCACCAUCCACGGCAACUCCUCCGAAUCUGCCUCCAGAGAUACUAGUCCAGAUGCAAAACAGACAUACUCAUUACGCUGGCAGCCAUCCAGUUUUAAAGAGGCCCAGUCAGUCCUGUUGAAGAAAGCUCUUUCCAGUGGAACAGGUGGAGAGAAGAUCAUAAGUGUUAUAUUGAAAUACAUUGAAUCAGAGCGAAGCAGACUGGAGUCUUCAUCCUCUACUGGAGCAACAAAGAUCUCCAGCAACAAAACCUUCCACACUCAACGUGGCCAGUUCACCCUUAUCUACGUCGCAGGUCAGUUCAAGCCAGCUGAGCUGAUUUUGAAAAAUCUAAUGUUUUAUUCAUUCACCCCCCCCCCCACACACAUAUAUAAGAGAACAUUUCAAAUGAGAUCCCUCUAAUACUUAUAUGGUUUCUCUGACAGCAAUGUGAUUAAAUGAAGAUCUAAUGGAUACUUUGACUUUGUCUCUUUAUAAAGCAGAUGAGAUUUCAAAAUGUGUCAGACUGUGUCUGCAAUCCAAAGUCAGAGAUUUCAUUAUAAUAUCAAACUCAAAGAUACAACCCUGACCUGUAUAUUUCACAUAAUUUUUAUAGCUUUGUAGUUGAACAUAAUCUCAACAAUUGUCUCAUUGUAUGUUUCUAUUCAUUUUUCUUAUUUGUUUAUUCUUAUUUUUAAAUUACAUGAAGCAUAAAUGAGUUGCAAUGCAAACAAUGCAAUUUUCAUCUGGUUGACUGAACAAACAUAUUUUAGCUUUUUGAAGCUUAACGAAACUGUAAAUACAGUAACUGAGAGAUGUGUAGGUUUAAAGGGUAAAAUAAUAUGUCUACCUUUAGUAAUAUUAGUAUAAGUAUUAGUAUAUGAAAAUAGUUCCCAUUGUACAUUUUAAGGCUAUGGCAAUCAGCCAAGGGUCCGAGGCCCACUAAGGUGCCUCAGCAUACUUACAAGGGGCCUUCAAGAAGAGUUACCAUUAUGUUAAAGAUACAUAACCAAUAAAAAUCAUGUUAUUUAUUGUUUUAAUUCACUGCCUCAACAAUAGUUUGUUUUCUUUGAAAAACCUCUUGGUUAUUUAUGUCACGUCUUGGUUACGUAUGUAACCCUCGUUCCCGGAAGGAGGGAACAGAGACGUUACGAAUGGGAUCUCGCCGAGAGCCCAAUCAUAUUCGAGUGGUACAAAACGAGCCAAUGGUACAAAGUACCACAAAGUACCUUGGUCUGCAGGAUUUGCAUCGCGAGCUCUGCCCUGCAGAGCGGGUUUAUAAGGAGCAACGCGAGCAACUCGCAUUCAAGUUUUCCCUGAGGAACAGCAAGUUUUCAGCGGAACAGCAAUGUGACAAGGAGACGUAACGUCUCCGUUCCCUCCUUCAGAGGGACAUAGAGUUACAUACGUAACCAAGACGUUCCCUUUACAGAAGGCAGGUAUCCACCCAGGUGGUGAUACAUAAGAACUCUGAGGUACCCAGCCCUCAGGGUGGAAGUUUCGACGACAGAUCUGGCAAGGAGCUUACCAAGGAAAGACACAUGCUGUGGACAUACACACGUGAGAUUGCCCAGAAAAGUGUAAUGGCGCAGCAAGCGGAUUGACACCGAGCAGGUCCUUACUGGCCCAAAGAGGCGAGUACCCGGGAGGACACGGGCUGUACAUGGAGAUUAUAAAAUUUUGCGAAUGUGUUAGGUGUCGCCCAGCCCGCAGCUCUACAGAUGUCUGUUAGCGGGGCGCCAUGCACCAGCACCCAGGAGGAAGCUACACUCCUAGUUGAGUCUGAUAAGCCAGGACAAUAGCUUCCACUAUCCAGUGGGAUAACCUCUGCUUGGAGACAGCCUUUCUCAUCUGCUGGCCUCCGUAACAGACAAAGAGCUGGUCUGUACGUGCUUGUCCUUCAGCAGGGCCCUGAAGCGGUGCAGAGCAAGCCAUACUGCUAGCAACUCAAGGCAAUUGACAUUCCACCGUUGCACAUGGCACCCCAGCCCGUGCCAGAGGCAUCUGUUGAAACAACAACAUGUCUGGACACCGGUUCUAGGGGCACGCCGGCCUGUAGAAAUGAGGGGUCCAACCACGGGGUAAAGUUUCGGCAGCAGGCCGGAGUGAUGGUCACUCGGAGCCUGCCCUGUCGCCUGCCCAUCUUGGAACUCGGUCAUGAAGCCAGUGCUGAAGCAGUCUCAUAUGGAGUAACCCGAGCGGUUUGACCGCCCCUGCGGAUGCCAUAUGCCCCAGGAGCCUCUGAAACAUUUUCAAUGGAACCGCUCUCUUGCCCUCGAAUUGUCUCAGGCAAUUCAGCAGUGACUGCGCGCGCUCAUUCGUAAAAUGCGCGAACAUAGCGACCAAGUCUAUGUCCAUACCGAGAAAAGAGAUCCUCUGCACAGGGGAGAGCUUACUCUUUUCCCAGUUGACCUGAAGACCCAGUCAGGUGAGGUGUCUGAUCACCAGAUCCCUGUGCUCACACAACCACUCUCGAGAGUGAGCUAGGAUCAGCCAGUCGUAGAGGUAGUUGAGGAUAUGGACACCUUGUUCCCUGAGAGGAGCCAGGGCUCCCUCCGCGACCUACGUAAAGACGCGGGGAGACAGGGGGGCCAACCUGAAUGGGAGAACCUUGUACUGAUAUGCCUGCCCCUCGAAAGCAAACCGAAGAAACGGUCUGUGUCGAGUAAUAAUGUAGACAAAGCGUCUUUGUAAGUAAGCGUCCUUCAGGUCGAUCGCUGCAAACCAAUCCAUCUGACGAAUGCAUUCGAAAAUGCGCUUGGGCAUUAGCAUCUUGAACGGGAGUCUGAAGUAAGGGCUGUAAAAGCCGGACUUCGUGUUGACUGGAGGGACCGACUCUAUCGCGCCCUUUGCCAGCAGGGUCACGACCCCGCGUGCAUGACAGGGGCAUCUUUGCCCACCAUCAUCGCGCAGACACCCCGAAACCUGGGGGGACGCCGGGCGAACUGAAUCACGUAGCUGAGCCUGAGCAUCCGGAUGAGCCAGCGGGAAGGCCUGGGGAGCUUGGGACCACCACGCCAAGCGGAGGUGCUCUGUGGACACACUUGCAUCGCAACAGAAGGCUCCACCGGGGGAAUACCAGCAUACCCCUUGGCCGCCCCACCAUCAAGGGCAGUGAAGGCGGAGGAAGUACCAGAACGGUUUCGGGCAGUUAAAGGUGCCUUCCAUGAACUGGUUACUUCCUGGUUCACUUCCGGGAAGAAAGGAACCAGAGGGGGGUGCUGGCGAUCCGCAUGAGCAGCCCCAAUGAACCAAUCAUCCAGCCUCGAGUGCUCGGGACAGGGCGGAGGAUUCCACUGAGCUUCCGGGAGCUGCGGGAGGAGUAUGAGGUCCGUGGGGCUUGGCCCGGCAAAGAAGCUCUCACAGUCACCCAGGAUGGGUGGCGACAGAGGGAUCUUCUGCACUCCCCUUGAGGAGUGAGAGACGCGAUCGCAGCGAUGCCAUGCUCAUACGCUCUCAAUUGAUGCAUGAGUCAUGCACGAGCACUGCCUCAGCGUGUUGGAUGCCCAGACACUGAAGACAAUGCUCAUGACUGUCAACCGAGGACAGGAAACGACCACAUCCAGAAGGACACUGACGAAACGGGAUCUUGAAAAAGACGUGAAUCGUCAGUGAUUUUAUCUUUUAGGAAUCAAACUGCUCUUUUAGCCGAAGCGCCCAGGGGAAUCACACAUGCAGUGCAACCGCAACCACUUGCUCUGAAGUGUUUUUUUUUUUUUUUUUAUGUACAUAAAACAAAGAUUAUUGGAGUAUAUUUCAAAAUAAAAUACUACUUCAGUCUUAAUGUUUAAUUCAAUGUGUUACUUGCCCUGGCUUCAAAUCAGCUUGAGUAUAGAAUAUCUUGUUUUAAUAAUUUGGCCUGUUUCCUGGUUUAAAUGUUUGUUCCAUGAUAAGGUUUAUCUGCCUGUAGAUUUGGGCUGGUUUGCAUUGAGACAGGCCUUGAUACACCAUUGUAGCGUAUUCCUGCCAUUGUUUAGCUUGGCCGAGAGGUGAUGGUGCAGUAAUUACUCAGGAGAUGGAUGUGGUGUUUUGCUAAUGGAACCCCUGUGUCUCCAUGACCUCAAAACAUACUGAAACGGCCCUCUGUGACAGCGCAUGGAAAGUGUGAGGAGACUGACCUCUUUCUCACUAACUCACAGACAUAGAGAGAGAGAGAGAGAGAGAGAGAGAGAGAGAAAAGAGCGAGAGAGAGAGAGAGAGAGAGAGAGAGAGAGACGUCAAAUGCUGCUUAUCUCUAGAGUUAUGUUCUUUAAACCAUUGAAUAUGCUGUAGCUGAUAAGUGAAGCUCUAGGGAGUUGAAACUUUGAGUGGCAUGUUACAGCAAUUCCUCAGUCUGGUCCAGCACAUUUCUGUUUCAGGUUAUUCAUAGAAUUCACUUAAUAGCAAUCAUAUUUUAUUAUGAAGCAGGAUUAUUAUUGUUAAAUAACACUAAAAUAAAUACUAUUUAAAAAAAAUUAUUAAAUAAAAUAAGCAUUACCUGAAAUAAAAUAAUACAUAAAAAAUGUAUAACUUUCAAAUUUAAAUUAAAACAGAAAAUAUACAAAUGUACAAUGUAAUUCAAAAUAUAUAAAAACAUAUAUAAUAGC
rnacentral:lncRNA from 1 species